rnacentral:rRNA from 1 species
UACCAGCACCCCGAGCGGUCGGGACGAUUAUUGGGCCUAAAGCAUCCGUAGCCGGCCUUACAAGUCCUCCGUUAAAUCCAGCUGCUUAACAGAUGGGCUGCGGAGGAUACUAUAAGACUAGGAGGCAGGAGAGGCAAGCGGUACUCAGUGGGUAGGGGUAAAAUCCGUUGAUCCAUAGAAGACCACCAGUGGCGAAGGCGGCUUGCCAGAACGCGCUCGACGGUGAGGGAUGAAAGCUGGGGGAGCAAACCGG